GUGAGGAAUAUUGCGCAAUGGAGGCAACUCUGACGCAGCCAUGCCGCGUGCAGGAAGAAGGCGCUACGCGUUGUAAACUGCUUUUAACCGGGAAGAAACCCCAGGACGUGUCCUGGGUUGACGGUACCGGAGGAAUAAGCACCGGCUAACUUCGUGCCAGCAGCCGCGGUAAUACGAAGGGUGCAAGCGUUAUCCGGAUUCAUUGGGUGUAAAGGGUGCGUAGGCGGAGCGUUAAGUCAGUGGUGAAAUCCUGCAGCUUAACUGUAGACUUGCCAUUGAUACUGGCGCUCUUGAGUGCGCUUGAAGUGGGCGGAAUGUGCCGUGUAGCGGUGAAAUGCUUAGAUAUGGCACAGAACACCAAUUGCGAAGGCAGCUCACUAAGGCGAUACUGACGCUGAGGCACGAAAGCGUGGGGAUCGAACAGGAUUAGAUAUCCGGGUAGUCC
rnacentral:rRNA from 1 species